CAAGAGCGUAUGUAAAAGUUGUUGCAGUUAAAAAGCUCGUAGUUGAACCUUGGGUUUGGUUGGCCGGUCCGCUUUUUUGCGAGUACUGGAUUCAACCGAGCCUUUCCUUCUGGCUAACCAGUCGUUUCGGCGGCUGGCGAACCAGGAUUUUUACUUUGAGAAAAUUAGAGUGUUCAAAGCAGGCAUUGGCUUGAAUAUAUUAGCAUGGAAUAAUAGAAUAGGACGUUAUGGUUCUAUUUUGUUGGUUUCUAGGACCAUCGUAAUGAUUAAUAGGGACGGUCGGGGGCAUCAGUAUUCAGUUGUCAGAGGUGAAAUUCUUGGAUUUACUGAAGACUAACUACUGCGAAAGCAUUUGCCAAGGACGUUUUCAUUAA
rnacentral:rRNA from 1 species